rnacentral:lncRNA from 1 species
AUGGUGAGAAAGGCAGAGAGCAGAGGAAUGUGGAUACAAGAGGAGAAGACCUCUACUGUCUUUAGCUCAGGAUGUAAUACAAGCCUCUUGUUGCCUGGUUAUCUUCAGAAUUUUUUGUCCGUGUGGAUUCCCUGUAAGUACAAAACUAAAUUUGAUUUUCUCCUGUUCAACUGUCAUGUAAAAUGAAUUUUAGUCCAGUUAGAAGAAACUUGGACAAAGGAAAAUUUCUACCUCCCCAACAACCACAUUAAACUAUUGAACACUUGAAAUGUGUAAGACAUCUAUGUUUACAUUUUAGUUUUACUUAUAUUUAAUGUUGCUUAUACUUAAAUUUAAAUGUAAAGAGCCAUAUGUGCUUAGUGGCUGCCACAUGGACAACACACUAGGAACUACACCUUAUCCCAUUACUUCCCUGAAGUCACUUAACCAGUUAAACUUUUUAUAGACAUUCCCCCUCCUGGAAAGUUCAGCAGCUUUGAUGAUUUAUAUAGCACAGUUGUACACUUAUCUCGAUAUUUUUCUACUUUCAUGUUUUUAUACUUGCCUUGUUUCUCCCCAUCUUAUUUUUCUCUUGUACUUACAAUGUUAAGCUUAUAGUAUAACCCUCAGUACACACUUGACUAACGUUUUGAAUUAUUUAUUAUGUAAGGGGAUUCUUCUCCUCUACUAAGAUAAGAUAAAAAUCAAAGAUAAAAAUAAAGGAACCUUGUACCAGCUCACCCCUCCGGUAGGAAUGGAAUCCAAAAUGGCUUCUUCUCCUUGUUCUUCUUGAGUAACUUUCUCUCUCUUGCAUGGCUUCCAUUUUCAUUUCUGCCUGGAGGAAUUAAAACAGCAUUAUUGUUACAUGCUUUGCAAAGACUAUUUUCCGAUACACAGUUCAAUAACAGUUUAUUACUAUGAGCACAAUAAUAUUUUAAUUGCUGCUCUGUGCCAUCUUAAAAUUAUAUUGUUGUUUUACUAAAGAGCUACUCAGAUAUAUAGCAUUUUCCUGGAAGUUGUGGGACCAUUUGAUUUUCACAGUUUACUAGUCAAACUGGUACUCUAGCAAUUAAAUCUAAAAGUUUUUUAAUUUGAGGACAUUCAACUUUUGAAGUAGGGAGUAAAGGGGCCAUGUUGCCAGUCUGGAGGGAAGUUAAAUGGAUUACUAAGUAAUUCUGUACUGCCUCUCUCCUAAAGGAUUAUUCCAA